rnacentral:rRNA from 1 species
AGGGCGCACGGUGGAUGCCUUGGCACUAGAAGCCGAUGAAGGACGUUACUAACGACGAUAUGCUUUGGGGAGCUGUAAGUAAGCUUUGAUCCAGAGAUUUCCGAAUGGGAAACCCAGCAUGAGUUAUGUCAUGUUAUCGAUAUGUGAAUACAUAGCAUAUCAGAAGGCACACCCGGAGAACUGAAACAUCUUAGUACCCGGAGGAAGAAAAAGAAAAUUCGAUUCCCUUAGUAGCGGCGAGCGAAACGGGAAGAGCCCAAACCAACAAGCUUGCUUGUUGGGGUUGUAGGACACUCUAUACGGAGUUACAAAGGACGACAUUAGACGAAUCAUCUGGAAAGAUGAAUCAAAGAAGGUAAUAAUCCUGUAGUCGAAAAUGUUGUCUCUCUUGAGUGGAUCCUGAGUACGACGGAACACGUGAAAUUCCGUCGGAAUCUGGGAGGACCAUCUCCUAAGGCUAAAUACUCUCUAGUGACCGAUAGUGAACCAGUACCGUGAGGGAAAGGUGAAAAGCACCCCGGAAGGGGAGUGAAAUAGAACCUGAAACCGUGUGCUUACAAGUAGUCAGAGCCCGUUAAUGGGUGAUGGCGUGCCUUUUGUAGAAUGAACCGGCGAGUUACGAUUUGAUGCAAGGUUAAGCAGUAAAUGUGGAGCCGUAGCGAAAGCGAGUCUGAAUAGGGCGUUUAGUAUUUGGUCGUAGACCCGAAACCAGGUGAUCUACCCUUGGUCAGGUUGAAGUUCAGGUAACACUGAAUGGAGGACCGAACCGACUUACGUUGAAAAGUGAGCGGAUGAACUGAGGGUAGCGGAGAAAUUCCAAUCGAACCUGGAGAUAGCUGGUUCUCUCCGAAAUAGCUUUAGGGCUAGCCUCAAGUGAUGAUUAUUGGAGGUAGAGCACUGUUUGGACGAGGGGCCCCUCUCGGGUUACCGAAUUCAGACAAACUCCGAAUGCCAAUUAAUUUAACUUGGGAGUCAGAACAUGGGUGAUAAGGUCCGUGUUCGAAAGGGAAACAGCCCAGACCACCAGCUAAGGUCCCAAAAUAUAUGUUAAGUGGAAAAGGAUGUGGCGUUGCCCAGACAACUAGGAUGUUGGCUUAGAAGCAGCCAUCAUUUAAAGAGUGCGUAAUAGCUCACUAGUCGAGUGACACUGCGCCGAAAAUGUACCGGGCUAAACAUAUUACCGAAGCUGUGGAUUGUCCUUUGGACAAUGGUAGGAGAGCGUUCUAAGGGCGUUGAAGCAUGAUCGUAAGGACAUGUGGAGCGCUUAGAAGUGAGAAUGCCGGUGUGAGUAGCGAAAGACGGGUGAGAAUCCCGUCCACCGAUUGACUAAGGUUUCCAGAGGAAGGCUCGUCCGCUCUGGGUUAGUCGGUCCUAAGCUGAGGCCGACAGGCGUAGGCGAUGGAUAACAGGUUGAUAUUCCUGUACCACCUAUAAUCGUUUUAAUCGAUGGGGGGACGCAGUAGGAUAGGCGAAGCGUGCGAUUGGAUUGCACGUCUAAGCAGUAAGGCUGAGUAUUAGGCAAAUCCGGUACUCGUUAAGGCUGAGCUGUGAUGGGGAGAAGACAUUGUGUCUUCGAGUCGUUGAUUUCACACUGCCGAGAAAAGCCUCUAGAUAGAAAAUAGGUGCCCGUACCGCAAACCGACACAGGUAGUCAAGAUGAGAAUUCUAAGGUGAGCGAGCGAACUCUCGUUAAGGAACUCGGCAAAAUGACCCCGUAACUUCGGGGAAAGGGUGCUCUUUAGGGUUAACGCCCAGAAGAGCCGCAGUGAAUAGGCCCAAGCGACUGUUUAUCAAAAACACAGGUCUCUGCUAAACCGUAAGGUGAUGUAUAGGGGCUGACGCCUGCCCGGUGCUGGAAGGUUAAGAGGAGUGGUUAGCUUCUGCGAAGCUACGAAUCGAAGCCCCAGUAAACGGCGGCCGUAACUAUAACGGUCCUAAGGUAGCGAAAUUCCUUGUCGGGUAAGUUCCGACCCGCACGAAAGGCGUAACGAUUUGGGCACUGUCUCAACGAGAGACUCGGUGAAAUCAUAGUACCUGUGAAGAUGCAGGUUACCGCGACAGGACGGAAAGACCCCGUGGAGCUUUACUGUAGCCUGAUAUUGAAAUUCGGCACAGCUUGUACAGGAUAGGUAGGAGCCUUUGAAACGUGAGCGCUAGCUUACGUGGAGGCGCUGGUGGGAUACUACCCUAGCUGUGUUGGCUUUCUAACCCGCACCACUUAUCGUGGUGGGAGACAGUGUCAGGCGGGCAGUUUGACUGGGGCGGUCGCCUCCUAAAAGGUAACGGAGGCGCCAAGGUUCCCUCAGAAUGGUUGGAAAUCAUUCAUAGAGUGUAAAGGCAUAAGGGAGCUUGACUGCGAGACCUACAAGUCGAGCAGGGUCGAAAGACGGACUUAGUGAUCCGGUGGUUCCGCAUGGAAGGCCAUCGCUCAACGGAUAAAAGCUACCCCGGGAUAACAGGCUUAUCUCCCCCAAGAGUUCACAUCGACGGGGAGGUUUGGCACCUCGAUGUCGGCUCAUCGCAUCCUGG